CCCUCCACUUUGGGAUAACUCCGGGAAACCGGGGCUAAUACCGAAUAUUGAAACAUAAGUGGCAUCACUGAGUUUUGAAAGAAUUUCGGUGGAGGAUGACUUCGCGGCCUAUCAGCUUGUUGGUGAGGUAAUGGCUCACCAAGGCGACGACGGGUAGCCGGCCUGAGAGGGCGACCGGCCACACUGGGACUGAGACACGGCCCAGACUCCUACGGGAGGCAGCAGUGGGGAAUAUUGGGCAAUGGACGCAAGUCUGACCCAGCGACGCCGCGUGCGGGAUGAAGGCCUUCGGGUUGUAAACCGCUUUCAGCAGGGAAGAAGCGAAAGUGACGGUACCUGCAAAAGAAGCACCGGCUAACUAUGUGCCAGCAGCCGCGGUAAUACAUAGGGUGCAAGCGUUGUCCGGAAUUAUUGGGCGUAAAGAGCUCGUAGGUGGUUAGUUACGUCGGGUGUGAAAAUCUGGGGCUCAACCCCAGACCUGCACUCGAUACGGGCUAGCUAGAGUUUGGUAGGGGAGACUGGAAUUCCUGGUGUAGCGGUGGAAUGCGCAGAUAUCAGGAGGAACACCAAUGGCGAAGGCAGGUCUCUGGGCCAAUACUGACACUGAGGAGCGAAAGCGCGGGGAGCGAACAGGAUUAGAUACCCUGGUAGUCCGCGCCGUAAACGGUGGGCGCUAGUUGUGGGGACCUUCCACGGUCUCUGCGACGCAGCU
rnacentral:rRNA from 1 species